UUCACACGUGAAAGAGAGAGAGAAAGAGGAAAGAGUGUGUGAAAACAGAAAUUUGUCAUACAUCAACUAUCACUGUCGAUCAAUAAAUCAUUCACAGAGUAGAGGAAGGAAUUUUGGAACGUGCAUUCAAAUAUUUUUCGUGUACAUUUCGAUAACAAGGUAAGAUACAUUUUUAUGUGCAAAGUGUUUUAAUUUUCCUUAUGCUCUUAUGUACAAUUAAUAUGUAUGGAUUACUAGUGGACCUUCGGGUUCUAGAGAAAGAGGUAUGAUAUUUUACGGGAAUUUAAGAGGAUCUAAGAUGGGUGUGUCGCUUGGUCACCGAUAUACUCCAUAAGAGAAGAGCGGUAUGAAGUGUAUAAUUUAUUUGUUAUGUAAUAGUUUAUGGAAAUUGCAAGUAUCUUACUCGGUAUUUUAAAUACUCACUCUUACAUUAAUUUUACAGGUUAGUUCGAGUCGAUUGGAACAGUGGCGAAUUGGUGAUGCGGGCUACCAAGUGGAUAAAGAAUAGAGAAAAAGAUAUAAGUUUG
rnacentral:lncRNA from 1 species